rnacentral:rRNA from 1 species
AAAGUGUAUGUCAUUAUUGCUGCGGUUAAAAAGCUCGUAGUUGGAUCUGAGCCUUUGGAUACGGUUCACCUCUGUGUGAUACUGGAUCCGGGGUUAAAUUCGUCGGUUCUCCGGCGAGAGUUACUCUGAAUAAAUCAGAGUGCUCAAAACAAGCGUUUCGCUUGAAUGUUUUUGCAUGGAAUAAUGGAAAAGGACUUCGGUUCCUUACUGUUGGUUUCGGAAUUGGAUUAAUGAUUAAGAGGGACCAACGGGGGCAUGCGUACCGCUACGCGAGAGGUGAAAUUCAUGGACCGUAGCGUGACGAA